UAGAGAAAGUUUGCCCUGUGUCUUCUC
rnacentral:sRNA from 1 species